rnacentral:rRNA from 1 species
UUCCAGGCAAAUCCGGAAAAUCAAGGCUGAGGCGUGAUGACGAGGCACUACGGUGCUGAAGCGACAAAUGCCCUGCUUCCAGGAAAAGCCUCUAAGCAUCAGGUAACAUCAAAUCGUACCCCAAACCGACACAGGUGGUCAGGUAGAGAAUACCAAGGCGCUUGAGAGAACUCGGGUGAAGGAACUAGGCAAAAUGGUGCCGUAACUUCGGGAGAAGGCACGCUGAUAUGUAGGUGAAGCGACUUGCUCGUGGAGCUGAAAUCAGUCGAAGAUACCAGCUGGCUGCAACUGUUUAUUAAAAACACAGCACUGUGCAAACACGAAAGUGGACGUAUACGGUGUGACGCCUGCCCGGUGCCGGAAGGUUAAUUGAUGGGGUUAGCGGUAACGCGAAGCUCUUGAUCGAAGCCCCGGUAAACGGCGGCCGUAACUAUAACGGUCCUAAGGUAGCGAAAUUCCUUGUCGGGUAAGUUCCGACCUGCACGAAUGGCGUAAUGAUGGCCAGGCUGUCUCCACCCGAGACUCAGUGAAAUUGAACUCGCUGUGAAGAUGCAGUGUACCCGCGGCAAGACGGAAAGACCCCGUGAACCUUUACUAUAGCUUGACACUGAACAUUGAGCCUUGAUGUGUAGGAUAGGUGGGAGGCUUUGAAGUGUGGACGCCAGUCUGCAUGGAGCCGACCUUGAAAUACCACCCUUUAAUGUUUGAUGUUCUAACGUGGGCCCCUUACCGGGGUUGCGGACAGUGUCUGGUGGGUAGUUUGACUGGGGCGGUCUCCUCCUAAAGAGUAACGGAGGAGCACGAAGGUUGGCUAAUCCUGGUCGGACAUCAGGAGGUUAGUGCAAUGGCAUAAGCCAGCUUGACUGCGAGCGUGACGGCGCGAGCAGGUGCGAAAGCAGGUCAUAGUGAUCCGGUGGUUCUGAAUGGAAGGGCCAUCGCUCAACGGAUAAAAGGUACUCCGGGGAUAACAGGCUGAUACCGCCCAAGAGUUCAUAUCGACGGCGGUGUUUGGCACCUCGAUGUCGGCUCAUCACAUCCUGGGGCUGAAGUAGGUCCCAAGGGUAUGGCUGUUCGCCAUUUAAAGUGGUACGCGAGCUGGGUUUAGAACGUCGUGAGACAGUUCGGUCCCUAUCUGCCGUGGGCGCUGGAGAACUGAGGGGGGCUGCUCCUAGUACGAGAGGACCGGAGUGGACGCAUCACUGGUGUUCGGGUUGUCAUGCCAAUGGCACUGCCCGGUAGCUAAAUGCGGAAGAGAUAAGUGCUGAAAGCAUCUAAGCACGAAACUUGCCCCGAGAUGAGUUCUCCCUGACUCCUUGAGAGUCCUGAAGGAACGUUGAAGACGACGACGUUGAUAGGCCGGGUGUGUAAGCGCAGCGAUGCGUUGAGCUAACCGGUACUAAUGAACCGUGAGGCUUAACCUUACAACGCCGAAG